rnacentral:rRNA from 1 species
CCUACGGGAGGCAGCAGUGGGGAAUAUUGGACAAUGGGCGAAAGCCUGAUCCAGCCAUGCCGCGUGUGUGAAGAAGGCCUUCGGGUUGUAAAGCACUUUCAGUGGGGAAGAAAGCCUUGGGGCUAAUACCCUCGAGGAAGGACAUCACCCACAGAAGAAGCACCGGCUAACUCCGUGCCAGCAGCCGCGGUAAUACGGAGGGUGCGAGCGUUAAUCGGAAUUACUGGGCGUAAAGCGCGCGUAGGCGGUCUGAUAAGCCGGUUGUGAAAGCCCCGGGCUCAACCUGGGAACGGCAUCCGGAACUGUCAGGCUAGAGAGCAGGAGAGGAAGGUAGAAUUCCCGGUGUAGCGGUGAAAUGCGUAGAGAUCGGGAGGAAUACCAGUGGCGAAGGCGGCCUUCUGGACUGACACUGACGCUGAGGUGCGAAAGCGUGGGUAGCAAACAGGAUUAGAUACCCUGGUAGUC